AUAAAGCAAGCCUUCCCAAAAUAUACUCUGGACCUUAGGUCUCUGAGAGAUAGAGAAAGCCCAACAAGAAUGCCCAAAGGUUUAAUGGUCUGUCCAAGGAUCCUCACGCUGUAUCUGUGGCUUGAAUAGGGCAGGAGGAAGCCGAUUCCAUACGGCCAGCCAUGUCUGCGUGGGCUCCGGCUCUGUGUUUUCUCUGGCUUCACUGCCUACCCCACCAGGUCCACACCUGCACUGCAGAGGCACCAGACCAGUUCCACCGAACGCCUGUUGGCUGGCCUGAAACAAACCAACAAAAGCUUGCCACUCUGGGUGCACUGCCAGACUUCAAGCCGGUUAACAAUUCACCGAGAAGACAGCUCUGAAAUUGCUCCUGCCUACAGAGGGUGAGGAACACCAGGAAUAAAGUCAACAGACUAAAGAUAAACCUCAAAAAAAGCACCAAGUCUAUUCUUUAAUGAGCUCCUCAAAUCAACAAGAAGACAAACAACAACCCAACAGAAAAGUGGAUAAAGGAUAUCAACAGGCAAUUCCCAGAAAAGGAAACUGCAAAUGGCUCUUAAACCUCUGAAAAGAUCAUUAAGCUACUUACAAGAGAAAAGCGAAUUAAACUAAAUGAGAUACUAUUUUUCCACCUCUCAGUUAAUGAGGACGCAUUGUUCUAGUGAAAUUGUAAAUUGGCAAAACUUUCUAGGGAGUACAAUUUGACAAUAUCUAGCCAGAAUCUAGAGUGCAUGCACUCUUUUUUUUUUUUUUCUAAGAUUUUAUUUUUCCUUUUUCUUCCCAACCCCCCC
rnacentral:lncRNA from 1 species